GAACGCUGGCGGCAUGCCUAACACAUGCAAGUCGAACGGCAGCACGAUCUAGCUUGCUAGAUUGGUGGCGAGUGGCGGACGGGUGAGUAACGCGUAGGAAUAUACCUUGAUGGGUGGGACAACUUGGGGAAACCCAAGCUAAUACCGCAUAAUCUCUGAGGAGGAAAGCUGGGGACCUUCGGGCCUGGCGCAUUAAGAAUAGCCUGCGUCCGAUUAGCUAGUUGGUGGGGUAAGGGCCUACCAAGGCGAUGAUCGGUAGCUGUUCUGAGAGGAAGAUCAGCCACACUGGAACUGAGAGACGGUCCAGACUCCUACGGGAGGCAGCAGUGGGGAAUAUUGGACAAUGGGGGAAACCCUGAUCCAGCAAUGCCGCGUGUGUGAAGAAGGC
rnacentral:rRNA from 1 species